UUACCCUGAAUGUUUAAUACUUUGCACCCAAAUUCUAAUUUGAUUUUUUUUUCUGCCUUCAGCUUACAGCCACUUGUUUUCUCAUACGCUCUUAUCUGCCAAAGGAGGUUGUACAGCUGCACACAGCUGGAUCAGGAAAUUUAAGAUUUGAAAUGUUUGACUCCUGCAGUGAACAAAAUCUACAUGGACAAGAAAUAACAAAUGCAUGUCCUCACUAUUAGGCUAGGAUUGGAUUGCCUGCUUUUAUGGCUGUGUUAUGAUCCCAUUAUUCUAAGUGUUUCAAGGGUCCCUGGUGCAUGCCAGGAGGUUUAGUGAAAGUGGAAACAAGAACCUCAAAGUUUUCUCGGGUGAGAGGGAAAAAAAGCUUUAAGUAGACAAGUUGAUCAAUGGGUAAGCAGUGGGUAAGGUUCAUCCGCAGUGUAAGCCUGUUAGCUUCAAUGGACUUCACAAAAAGACUUACUUAAAUCUGGUUCAGCAGGAUCCUAGAACAAGUGUUUAUUCAGCAAAGAUCUUGUCUGACUCAUGAUAUCAACUGUUCUGUAGACGUCAAGACUAAUUAUGUGUGCUUAUCUUGUUUCAAGGUUUGGGAGUUAGUGUCAGCCACUCAAUCAAUACUAUUCCUGACUAAAUUAAAUAAAAAAUCUAACAUAGCUCAAGUUUU